CCUACGGGAGGCAGCAGUGGGGAAUAUUGGGCAAUGGACGCAAGUCUGACCCAGCAACGCCGCGUGAAGGCAGAAGGCUUUCGGGUUGUAAACUUCUUUUAAGGGGGAAGAGCAGAAGACGGUACCCCUUGAAUAAGCCACGGCUAACUACGUGCCAGCAGCCGCGGUAAUACGUAGGUGGCAAGCGUUGUCCGGAUUUACUGGGUGUAAAGGGCGGGCAGCCGGGGAGACAAGUCAGAUGUGAAAUCCCCGGGCUCAACCCGGGAACUGCAUUUGAAACUGUUUCCCUUGAGUGUCGGAGAGGUAAUCGGAAUUCCUAGUGUAGCGGUGAAAUGCGUAGAUAUAAGGAAGAACACCAGUGGCGAAGGCGGAUGACUGGACGAUAACUGACGGUGAGGCGCGAAAGCGUGGGGAGCAAACAGGAUUAGAUACCCGAGUAGUC
rnacentral:rRNA from 1 species